GUUCCUACGGGAGGCAGCAGUCGGGAAUAUUGCGCAAUGGGGGAAACUCUGACGCAGUGACGCCGCGUAUAGGAAGAAGGUUUUCGGAUUGUAAACUAUUGUCGUUAGGGAAGAUAAAAGACUGUACCUAAGGAGGAAGCCCCGGCUAACUAUGUGCCAGCAGCCGCGGUAAUACAUAGGGGGCAAGCGUUAUCCGGAAUUAUUGGGCGUAAAGGGUGCGUAGAUGGCAUAGUAAGUCUUUUGUAAAAAUGCUGGGCUCAACCAAGUAGGGCAAAAGAUACUGCAAAGCUAGAGUAUGACAGAGG
rnacentral:rRNA from 1 species